GAUGAACGCUAGCGGCAGGCCUAAUACAUGCAAGUCGGACGGGAUUUAACUUAAAGCUUGCUUUAAGUUAAUGAGAGUGGCGCACGGGUGCGUAACGCGUGAGCAACCUACCUCUAUCAGGGGGAUAGCCUCUCGAAAGAGAGAUUAACACCGCAUAACAUCAACAGUUCGCAUGUUCGGUUGAUUAAAUAUUUAUAGGAUAGAGAUGGGCUCGCGUGACAUUAGCUAGUUGGUAGGGUAACGGCCUACCAAGGCGACGAUGUCUAGGGGCUCUGAGAGGAGAAUCCCCCACACUGGUANUGGAGACACGGACCAGACUCCCUACGGGAGGCAGCAGUAAGGAAUAUUGGUCAAUGGGCGGAAGCCUGAACCAGCCAUGCCGCGUGCAGGAUGACUGCCCUAUGGGUUGUAAAACUGCUUUUGGUCCAGGAAUAAACCUCUUUACGUGUAGAGAGCUGUAUGUACUGGAAGAAUAAGGAUCGGCUAACUCCGUGCCAGCAGCCGCGGUAAUACGGAGGAUCCGAGCGUUAUCCGGAUUUAUUGGGUUUAAAGGGUGCGUAGGCGCCUGUUAAGUCAGGGGUGAAAUACGGUGGCUCAACCAUCGCAGUGCCUUUGAUACUGACGGGGCUUGAAUCCAUUUGAAGUGGGCGGAUAAGACAAGUAGCGGUGAAAAUGCAUAGAUAUGUCUUAGAACUCCGAUUGCGAAGGCAGCUCACUAAAGCUGGUAUUUGACGCUGAUG
rnacentral:rRNA from 1 species